rnacentral:lncRNA from 1 species
GAAUUUCAACAUUCUUGGGAUUACUCUUCAAAAAUAUCAAAAGGCAUAUCCAGUAUAUAAUAUUCAAGCAAUAUAAAACAACAAUCCAUGAGACUUUUCUUAAAUUUUUUAAUACUAUUUAAUCUAUAGAUAUUCCAUAAUUGAAUGGGUACUAUUCAGGACCAUAUUGAACAGAAAUAAAUCAAAUAGGUCAAUUCCACCAACUCCGCCACCUAAUUGACUUAAAUCAUUAUGUUAAUAAGAUGCAAGGGCCACCACCUAAAUAGAUAUAUUUGUAAAAAUUGCUAGCUUUGACACGUGUCAAACAAAAUUUACAUAUACCAACUAGAUGAGAUAUGCAAUCCAGCUAUUUUAGCCCAUAACAAACAGCCAGAUCUGAAGCAUACAAAUACAUGGCCUGACUCUUAGGAUUGCAAAUCUCCCCGGUGGAUCGUUUAGUCUGCAACACAAUUUUUGAUACUAAAAAAUCCUCAAGAGAGGCAAUAACAGAGCAUAUUUUUGUUAUUGCUCAAAUUUUUGAUUUAACAUGGCUGUUAAAACUAAUAUUAGUACUUCGGAUUCCAAUGAGAAAUAGAGAGAAAUUAGAAACUCGUGAUCUAAAGGAACUCAAGGAUUUAUU